rnacentral:rRNA from 1 species
AUUGAACGCUGGCGGCAGGCUUAACACAUGCAAGUCGAGCGGGGUGAUGGUGCUUGCACUAUCACUUAGCGGCGGACGGGUGAGUAAUGCUUAGGAAUCUGCCUAUUAGUGGGGGACAACAUCUCGAAAGGGAUGCUAAUACCGCAUACGUCCUACGGGAGAAAGCAGGGGAUCACUUGUGACCUUGCGCUAAUAGAUGAGCCUAAGUCGGAUUAGCUAGUUGGUGGGGUAAAGGCCUACAAAGGCGACGAUCUGUAGCGGGUCUGAGAGGAUGAUCCGCAACACUGGGACUGGGACACGGCCCAGACUCCUACCGGAGGCAGCAGUGGGGAAUAUUGGACAAUGGGGGGAACCCUGAUCCAGCCAUGCCGCGUGUGUGAAGAAGGCCUUAUGGUUGUAAAGCACUUUAAGCGAGGAGGAGGCUCUUUUGGUUAAUACCCAAGAUGAGUGGACGUUACUCGCAGAAUAAGCACCGGCUAACUCUGUGCCAGCCGCCGCGGUAA